CGAACAGGCAGGCCACGCCCAGCAGUUGCAGGCGGUGUGGGCGCACGCGGUAUGCGCGCAGCUUCCCAGGCCCCGCUCUUGGCCACGGACUCGCAACCCACCCCCCUCAGCAUCCAGAAGGGUCUUUCUGAAGUGAAUGUCUGACCAAGGAACACUCCAGCUUAAAUCCCCCCGAGGCCUUCGGAGACCAUCCUGACCCCUCUCAGACGUCAAGCUCAUGCUCCAACCAUCACCUCUUUUCCUCUCCCCUCAAAACCCAGCAUCCUUAGACCCUGCGGCGAUCACCCGCACUCUGCGGCCUUUGCAUGCACUUCCUAUUCCUGCUCCACACAAGCCCUUCCCCGGCAUUGCCGCGGCUUCAGCCAUUCCAGUUGCCAUUAAAGUUUCCCUGACUUCCAGUACUCUGUGCCCCAUCACUGUCUCUGUACCCCAUUACUAUUACUUUUCUUAUUGUACCUGUUUGCCCCCUGGGGCCCUGACGGGUCCCGAGGUGCUGUAAGUCUCCCUUCAGAGCCUGUCCCUUCAGCAUGUCUCCCGACAGAGCCUGCCGAGCAGAGUCUCUGCAGCCCUUUGGAAAGAUUCACCCGUUUGCUAGCUGGACCCCCUUCCCCAGGACACACUGUGGUGCCUAGAACAGUUUGUUGACAAAGCACCAAAUAGCUGGGGGGACUGAUAGAAACUGCUCUGAGAUACCCUAAGGCCGCCACAGCCUGGGGGUCUGGGCAGUGACAUUCCUGGCGGUGGAAACUGUCGGGGGGGAAAAAAGAAAAAGUCAAGCAGUCCGGCCGCAGGCUGGAAGGUUAGCCCUAAGAGAUGGGCACGGAGGCGGGCUCCUCUAAUCCAAGCCUCUGCGGCCGUCGUCAGCGCCCGGCCUAGGCCUCAGGCCUGGGCUCCACUCACCAUGACUUCGGCGAAGAUGUCCCCCGCAUACUCCCGCUCUCCCUCCAGCCCCAGUGCACUCAGCGCCUCCUCCAGCCCAGGCGGUGCGUGGGGCCCCGAGGCGCUCUCCCUGAGUCCUGGGGAGACGCUCGGCCCCAUGGGGACUGGAGCAGUCGAAGGCUCGGGGUCGAGAGAAGCAGCUGGGCUCUGCAAGCGAGUGGCUAGGGGGUCAGUGCCUAGAGAAGCCUGAGCCCGAGGGGGAUUCUGACCCCUGCAACUCACCGGCAUCCUCCAGGCUGGUGCGAGGCGAAACCCAACGCCCGCCUCUUCGCGCUGGAACUGUACCAGCUGGGGCCGGCGCUUUAAUUGCGUCUGGGCGCAGGCGCACCACGGAGCACGCUCACCUGGGCAGGUGCCUGGGUUGCGGUAGAUGCUCCCCAGGCUGGCUCUGCACCCUCCGGACUUUCUAAGUUCACACAGCCGCAGUCAAACCCUCAUCCUGCCACUUCCCGUAUGGUCAAAGGCAGCCUCUGUAAACCUCACUUCCCUCCGCUGCAAAGGGGGGUUGUUUUCAAAACUUAGCAGACUGUCCUGAGGAUGUCUUGUAAGACUGUGUUCGGGGCCUCCCCGCUGCCCUCCGGGGGCCCCUAUCCCCUCCUCUGUCCUCCACAUGCAGCCAGAGGGGCUAGUGCAGUGCAGCACCGGUCAGAUCACUGCCUCUGCCCAGACGCCCUUGGUGGCUCCCACCUCUCUGAGUUGAAAGUCAAGACCCACUUCCCUCAUUCUCCCCACACACCUCUGCACCCUGUCCACUCAUUCCCAUUCCACACAGGCUCCUCCUAACCCAGAUGAAGGCCUCAGGGCCUUCGCACUGGCUGUUCCCUCUGCCUGAAAUGCUCUUCCCCCAUAGUCCCCAUUGGUUCAAGGUGUUUACAGAAGUUUCCUUCUUCAUGCAAACUACCAUCCUGAGGAAAUCCUGUCCCCAGUCUCUGCGUUUCUUCUCUCCUGUUACCUUCUAGCUGUAUAGUACCCUUUUCAUCAUCUCCCUCUGAUUGAAAUGUGAGGGCAGAAUUUUUUAUAAUUAUUUUCCCCUUUCAUUGCCGUAUCCCCAGGAGUUGCCACAUCACAGGUAACUCGACAAAUACUUAUGGACUGGGAAGUGAGCACACCAGGGCCUCUCUGGGGUCACCUUGCAGCUGACACAUGGAGGAACAGCCAGGAACGCAGAGGAAGGGGAGACUACUCCCGGUGGAGGACACCACGUCAGUGGAGGACCUGACGUAUGAGAGGCUGGUCUGAGACACGGAGAGCCCAGUGAAGCCAGGAAAGUGACAGCGUGUGACGCAGGCUUCCUGUUAGAUGCAGUGAAACACAAACACCUUUAUUGCCCACAGGCCCCUUGCUGUCUUUUAAACCUCAUUUCCUUCUGCUCUUCUCACACUCUCUCUACUAAAGACCCCUGGCCUCUGUUCCCCAACAAGCAGGCCGUCCCGGGGCCUCUGCACUUGCCACUCCUUGGGCCGCAGUUCUAUUCCCGGAGAACCACGGCUCUGCUGGCUCUUGGUCUGCACACGUGACCUCCCCCACCCCGCCAGAAGCAGCCACCCAGUCUUCACCCAGCCCUCCUUUCAGUUCUGAUCUCCUGUAUCUGGAGAAUGAGUUACGCAUCUCCUCCAGGAGGCAGCUGUGUUGGCCCGCUUGGGCCUGUGCCUCCAGCAUCUACAGCAGCGCCAAGCUCAUCACAUGCUCGGCAAUGAGCAGAGUUUCUUGUGCCCCCACACAGGUCAGGGCCCCCCAGGGCGGGCUCCCUAAGCCCUGAACCCCAAGGGCCGGGGAAGAGUGAGCACCAGCAAGUGCUUCGCAAGUGAUUGUCUGAAAGGCCCCGCCCUGCUCUGGUUUAAGUUGCUCUGAAGGCAAAUGGGAGGGCUGGGCCUGAACCCACCUCUUCACCACCUCUUCCCUGACUCAAUUUCCUUAUGUGGAAAAGGGGGUGGGGGAGGAAGUGCCCCUUGUCCUGGGGGCCUGCACCCAUCCCCAGGAUUUGGGGCAAAACUUGGUGUGGUAAAGGCUUUCACACUGCCAGAGACCUGGCUGAUGGGCCUCAGUAGGACUGUGGGGUGUUAGUGUGGGGGUCACAGAAACGUCUUUAUAGUACUCUGUCCGUCUCAGUGACAAAGAGAGCUGUCGCAGAACAAGUGUCCCAUUGCAAGAUGCGAAACAAAGCCCCUGUAUUUCCAAGCUUUGACAUGACCACAUGGGAGGGGACAGGGCCAGGGAGGAGCCAGUCACUCAGGGUCACAGUAUGUGACUGUAUGUAUACCUCUACCAAGACACAGGGCGCCAUGAACACAGCCCCACCGGUGUGGCACGGCGGCCCGAGUUAGCAACUCUGCAGCUGCCCCAGGACUGGGCAGACGGGCUGGCCGGUGGGAGGCGGCGGAAUGGUCAGAGGACAGACAGGUACAGAGAGGGGGUGGUGAUGGGAUCGGAGAUGAUCGGUGUGAACACCUAGUGGGGCACGUAGACUGAGGCGCAAGCACCUCCUAGUGCAGUCUGAGGGGGGUCUGCAAGUAGGGACCUCGCCAAUCCUCACCAGAAUAAACCAGCCACUUGGGGAAAUGGCUGCUUAACCCAGAAGCUCCUUCUGUGACUGAAAGGCAGGCACUUCCCCAAGGACAGGGCAGACGGAGCAGCCGCAACUGCCACAACGUCAGUCAGUGACGGGUCCCAGGCCCCAGAGCGCCCUCGGCCAUAGCUGGCCAGGAGAGGCAAGUAGGCUCUCCCCGUGCACGGGAAGACCUGGAGACGCCAUGAGGAGCAGCUGGGGCUGGUGGUCACUGCCAGAUGGCAAAAGGAGAACGCUGACGAGGACCCAGAGAUUUACAUGCCAACUAACGCCAGAAGUCACUUCCCAGCCCCUGGGAGGGGAGCGAGCCCCAGACCGCCAUGGCAACUCUGCGGGCACGUCACCUCCCUCAACAGCUCCAGCCAGGGAGCGCCAGGCUUGGCCUCAGUGGCUGGGCGGAGCCAUGCAUAAAAGGGGGAUCAGCCUUUUUUAGGGUGCCAGGCCAUUUGCACAGGAAAGUAACGUGAGUGCCCACAGCCUGGUACCUGGGGGACCCUUUCCUCCAUGCCUUCGCCUUGUGGAGGGACCCCCCACGCCCCACACUCACCUCAUGACACCAAGUGCACAGGACAAAAACCAGAUUCAUCUCAAAUUUUUUUCUAAUUGGCAAAAUUUUAUUCAGACUCUUCUACCUUUUCCCUCCCGGGGACAAGCUCCCCCACAGACAUGAGCGCCAGCCCCUCCUGCUCUGUGUGCCCUGCCCAGGCCGUGCCCUGCGCCAGCCGCCAGGCCAGCACGGGAAGCUGGCCCAGGACACCGAGGGGCAGGGCAGGAGGAGAGGAAGCUCCUCUCCAGGUCGCUCAGGCCCAGGCCAUCAUCAGACAAUGUGCCGAUAACGCGCAGUUAUCAGGGAGAACAACCUGCUGACUCUCGGCUGUCGCCAGCGGCAAAGUCUAUAAAGAGGCUGCCUUCCCACUGCCCUCACUGCUGGCCCCCGAAUGAUGCCCGUGAAGCCGACUCCUGGCGGAACCUGACACCAAGUCCACCAGUGUGAGGCUGGGCCCUGCUGACUGGACCCUGCUGGGGUCCCUGGGGCGGAGCUGCUGCGACAAGACACUGAGGUGCUCCUGCUGCAGCACCACUUGGCCCCAUGGACCCGAGUUCCGCCCAUGGGAAGGGGGCGGGCGGGCAGGCAGUGAGUGCCCUGUGGGCUCAGAGCGGGGUGACAGACACACCUGUCACACUGCGGCUGGGGCUCAGUAACACCCUGCACACCCCCGUGAUCAGGGCCACUGCCCUCCACCCCACCUCCCCGCCGAAGAGCUACUGGAGCCUGGGGACCUACCUCGCACCCCCACCCCAGGCCUGGAGCACCUUGCAGCUCCUCAGCAGCUUCCACCCUGUGACCUCCCCACCAGCCUGAGCCACCCCCACAGGCUCCCCACCUCCAGCAGGCGGGGCCUGUGAACUGAGCAAGAGGAGCAGGAGGGCUCACUCCCUCAGCAAGGAAAUGCCCAGGGUGGGGGCCCAGUCUGAAACGAGUGUCUUUAUUGCUUGUACCGUACAAAUCCAAGGACUGGGGGAAGGCCGGGGAGGAGGGAGAACUCUCAG